UACGGGGUGAGCAAGCGUUGUUCGGAUUUACUGGGCGUAAAGGGCGCGUAGGCGGUCGUGACAAGUCACUUGUGAAAUCUCCGGGCUUAACUCGGAACGGUCAAGUGAUACUGUCGGACUAGAGUACAGAAGGGGCAACUGGAAUUCUCGGUGUAGCGGUGAAAUGCGUAGAUAUCGAGAGGAACACCUGCGGCGAAGGCGGGUUGCUGGGCUGAUACUGACGCUGAGGCGCGAAAGCCAGGGGAGCGAACGGG
rnacentral:rRNA from 1 species